CGUAUCUUCUUCCACGUCCACACUUUUACACAGUCGCAAGUUGCUCUUGCCAGAUCCCCUUUCUCUCUUCCUCAUUCUCUCCGCUCACUCCAAAAUUGCUGCCGCCGGAUAGCUGUCGUCAGCUUGCUUCCUUGGUUCGGUGCCAUCAGCUUGCUCGUCCUCACCUGCGGCCACCCCCGCAGCUCGAUUCGCUAGUGCGGCCAUAGGAUGAACUUCAACGGUGGCUGGUUUGUCUCCACGUACGCCUCUUCGGUCUAGGCUGGUAAACAGCGAUGGAGGGGUAGCAGGGCCCAAGGUGGAGCUGCGCAAGGGAGUAGGCGAGAUCAUCCAUCUGCACGGUGUUGUUGCUCUCGACGUCCGUGCAGGUGAUGUGGGCAUGGAUUUCGCCUCGCAACCAGCUUUGAUCCAUCUUUAGUAUGAGGAUGGUGGAGACGUUUUCUGCCCCUAGAGCGCCAGCGAAACGCAUCCUCCACAUCGGCGACAUUCUUCGAAGUUCGAAGAUCAAUGGCGAUGCACCUGCUGGUCUUUGGACAGGGGAGUAUCUUGCUCCGCCGCUUAAGACCUGGGCUGGCCAACCCUGCUCGUCCCAAUGGUUGGUCCACCACAGGUUGCGGAUUAAUGCUCAAGUUUGUGAAGAUUCAUUAUUUUUAUUACUUUUUGCUUUACUUUUCUCAUUAUUUUUAUGCCAUCUGUACUUGAUUAAUGAGGUACUUUAUUAGACAUAAUUACUGUGGUACUCAAUUCAAAUAUUAUGUGACCAUUAUCUGAUCUACAAACUGUAAGUAGAUACCAUACUGCAGUACUCUUACCCUUUGCUUCUUAAUAGACUUCAAACCUAUGGAGGCCAUUCCACAAUCCCAGAUUAUAGUAGAGGAGCACGCUAUAAUUCUGUGAGAUGGUACUUACUAAAGAUGGUCUGAUCUCUUGACGUAGCAGAUUACGAUUGAGGAUAGUCAACAUGAGAUUGGGGGGCUUGUGACCGAUGCAGGAAGACAAUGCUGAAGUGCCACUUGUUGGAGGAAGUUGACAUCGAAGUGUUGUUUGCUGGAGGAAGAUGAUGUAAUAAGGGUACUCUUCUGAAAUCUAAAGGACAAUGAACUUUUGAGAUGGUCGAACCAUUGCCUGGGGAAGGUAUUUUAGGGAUGGCUGAGUUGACCACGCUUGCUCGAUGGAAAGAGAUGUUACUUGGAUGCGGAGAGAUUUUAUAUAUGUACGUGAACGUGAGAUUUUGUUUCUGCUUGGAGAGAUUGUAUCUCUGUACAAUAUUGGUAGAGUUUGGUUAUGUUUGGAGAGAUUGUAUCUUUGCAUAGGAUUGUGAGAGUUUGGUCAUUGCGUCCUGUACAUGAUCGUUUGACUUUUUCUGGGACCAUGAGAGUGUAUAUUUUUAAACGUGUAAUGAUCAGCUUUUUUUAUGGCUA